rnacentral:lncRNA from 1 species
CUGUGGAUCCGUCUACUAGGUGAUCCCUGUUGGAUCCCGGUCUACAGGUAUUAUCCCUGUGGAUCCCGGUCUACUAGGGGAAAUUCCUGGUCUACUGAGGGGAAUAUCCUGGUCUACUAGGGGAAUAUCCCUGUGGAUCCUGGUCUACUAGGGGAAUACCCUGUGGAUCCCGGUCUACUUGAGGAAUAUCCCUGUGGAUCCUGGUCUACUAGGGGAAUAUCCCUGUGGAUCCCGGUUAUACUUGAGGAAUAUCCCUGUGGACCUGGUUACUUGGGGAAUAUCCCUUGUGGAUCCCGGUCUACUAGGGAAUAAUCCUGGUCCUACUAGGGGAAUAUCCAUGUGAUCCCGGUCUACUAGGGAAUAUCCCUGGUCCGUACUAGGGAAUAUCCUGUGGGAUCCCGGUCUACUAUGGGAAUCCC